GGCAUUGCGCUGCUUUCCAUGCAGUCGACGGCAGCGCGGGCUUCGGCCUGGCGGCGAGUGGCGAACGGGUGAGUAAUGCAUCGGAACGUACCCAGUCGUGGGGGAUAACACAUCGAAAGAUGUGCUAAUACCGCAUACGUCCUGAGGGAGAAAGCGGGGGACCUUCGGGCCUCGCGCGAUUGGAGCGGCCGAUGUCAGAUUAGCUAGUAGGUGGGGUAAAGGCCCACCUAGGCGACGAUCUGUAGCGGGUCUGAGAGGAUGAUCCGCCACACUGGGACUGAGACACGGCCCAGACUCCUACGGGAGGCAGCAGUGGGGAAUUUUGGACAAUGGGGGCAACCCUGAUCCAGCCAUGCCGCGUGAGUGAAGAAGGCCUUCGGGUUGUAAAGCUCUUUCGGCCGGGAAGAAAUCGCGCAUUUUAAUAGGGUGCGUGGAUGACGGUACCGGACUAAGAAGCACCGGCUAACUACGUGCCAGCAGCCGCGGUAA
rnacentral:rRNA from 1 species